rnacentral:rRNA from 1 species
GACGAAGGGGGCAAGCGAUGUUCGGACGUACAGGGCGUAAAGGGCGCGUAGGCGGCCAUUUGAGUCAGACGUGAAAGGCCUGGGCUCAACCUGGGAAUUGCGUUUGAUACUGGAUGGCUUGAGAGCGGGAGAGGAUGGUGGAAUUCCCAGUGUAGAGGUGAAAUUCGUAGAUAUUGGGAAGAACACCGGUGGCGAAGGCGGCCAUCUGGACCAUAUCUGACGCUGAGGCGCGAAAGCGUGGGGAGCAAACAGG